GUUUCUGUUUCUCUCCCGUUUUUCAGAGUAUUAUGUACAUGGAAGAGGAUCUCUGUUUCCAGAGAGAUCAUCUGUUCCUGCUGCUUAUACCUUAUUUGAUGUCAUGAUCUCGGUUGCUGUGGAAAUGAUUAAGCUAUCAUCAACAGGAUUCAGAUGGGGAAUAAGCGCCGGGAGAAGAUGAUACAACAGUCCUUCUUUUAUGCGAAGAUCUGCAGUUAAGAAUGACAAGCAAACAAGCCAAAAAUAGAAGCAAACCCGCACCUCAAAUCACCAUUCAGCCUAAGCAGACUUCACUUUAAAAUAAGCAUAUUUUUCCUGGGGGAUGUCAGAUGGUGUCUGGAAAAUGUCACUGUCACCCACUGCUGUGGAAGUGGAAGAAGGGGGCUUGAGGAAGAGUACACAUUUGAAUCCAUGCCUGACAGAGAAUUGGUGUUAUCCCCGGAGCUCCCAAGACAUAGGGCAAAGGAGAUGAACGAUUUUCGCAUAACGGGACAAACUUCUAGUUUCAAUGACCUGGGAACUGUAUGUGUGGCAAGGGGAAUGUAUUUGGUCAAACACCUAAGCUACAGUAUUUCUAGGAUGCAAGUUGACGUACUCCUCAGCAACUUCUUUUCCAAACAACAUUGCUGUUUUGGGACCCUGCUAAAAAUGAACUGUGGGUGUUUUUUUUAACUUUUUAUUUGGGUUUCCUGGCAGGGAAAAGACAGACAAGCAUGGAGAGGUCAGUACUCUGUGGACCUAAAAAAAAAGCUAAUAGAAAAAAACAUUUUUGUCACUUCUGUAUUACUGUUCCUGCUCAGGUAAGGAGGCAGUUAUCUGCCCCUCUGACCAAUUCAUACCCGUGCUCUUUGCAGAGCCAACAAGAUCGUUUGGUCCGUAACCUCUGGCAGUGUUAAAACAACGAAACGAAUAACAUUCUUCUCUCAAACUUUGAGUAGGAGCCGACCUAAAAAAACACCCGGUCCACCUGGCCACUUUUUGGCCCCCCCGCGGGGCAGG
rnacentral:lncRNA from 1 species